UCAAAGCUCUCCUGAGCCUGCUGGUCCUCAAAGGCUUGGUCUUGAUCACUAACGUACGGCUCACCGUCUAUUCCCAAACAUCAAUCAACAACACGCAAUCCAAUAGAGACAAUCAUACACAAAGCAAACAAGAUAUAAUUAGAACAUUACACCAACAGUGAUAAAUCAAAGAUAAAAGUUUAUGAAAAUAUUCUACGCAGCGCUACGAUCACACAAACGUAAAGUUCACGAAAAUCGGAAUUAAAACGUGGAAGAUAUGAAUUUUCUAAGAUUUCUUAUAGAGAAAUAAUUAAUUUAAAUGCUACUGCAGAAUUAAAAAGUUUCAAAACAGAGAAUAAAUAGUUCUAACACGUAGAGCUUGUAAAUACGAAUCUAACGAAAUUUGAAUGGACAAAAACGGAGUUAAAACGAAGAAAAUAUGGCGUAAACAAACUAGUGUAUUUUCUUUGUAUUACUAGAUUUAUUUUCCUAAAGGAAAACGGCAAUAAUGCUGGGUUGACGUCAUGGUGAUGUCAUCGUGAUCUCAUCAUGCUAAUUAGCCAUCGCAGCAGAGCAGACAUGAAGAUUACGCAAGACUUAUCAAUUGCAGAUGAUGAGGUCGAGAGUGCCUGCUGCAGCCCACACAGUAAGAGCAGAAAGGCGGACUCCCCUAGCUCUUAUUAGGAUCAAAACAGAGACAAUGGAGAACUCAUCGCAAGCGAUUUCGUGAUGAAAAAAAAUACAAGGCGAGGAUGUCGGAUGGCUCGGAGAGGCAGGGACGGGUUCCUCAGAACGAAGCUUAGCGUCCUGCUUGGUUCAUCGGAGAAGCGGCUCCGAAGGACCAUCUUGGCUCCUCGACGGGAUACUCGGCGGUGACUCAGAGACGAUGAGGAAGCCACGAACGGCGGUCACCACGGCGGCGAGCUGAGCUAGGGCUUCGGAACGGCGCUGCAAGGUCGAGAAGAGUCGGCGGCUUGCCUAGGGUUAUAAUAGACGAUGCGCACACAUGGCUUGGGUUUUACGCAAUAUCCUGUAUGAUUUGGAAUUUGCAUCGACUUCCGUCGGCUUGGAGUCUGAGCAGAGCACGGCAGGAGAUAGAGGAAGGUGGCUGACAU
rnacentral:lncRNA from 1 species